rnacentral:rRNA from 1 species
UGGCGGCGCGUUUAAGCAUGCAAGUCGAGCGGCAAGGGCCGUCGGGCCCCUAGAGCGGCGGACGGGUGAGUAACACGUGGACAAUCCUGCCCCCCGGCCCGGGAUAGCCCAGGGAAACCUGGAUUAAUACCGGAUGAGACGGGACCCGCGAUGGCGGGAUCCGGGAAAGGCGCUGCGGCGGCCGCCGGGGGAUGAGUCUGCGUCCCAUUAGCUAGACGGCGGGGUAACGGCCCACCGUGGCGACGAUGGGUAGCCGGCCUGAGAGGGUGGACGGCCACAUUGGAACUGAGACACGGUCCAGACUCCUACGGGGAGGCAGCAGCUAAGAAUCUUCCGCAAUGGGCGAAAGCCUGACGGAGCGACGCCGCGUGAACGAAGAAGGCCGUGAGGUUGUAAAGUUCUUUUCGGGAGGGGGAACAACCGUGGCAGGGAAUGGCCGCGGGAUGACGUGAAUCCCGGAAUAAGCCCCGGCUAACUACGUGCCAGCAGCAGC